UGCUCAGUACGGCGAGUGAAGCGGCAAAAGCUCAAAUUUGAAAUCUAGCACCUUCGGUGUUCGAGUUGUAAUUUGAAGAUGGUAACCUUGGGUUUGGCUCUUGUCUAUGUUCCUUGGAACAGGACGUCAUAGAGGGUGAGAAUCCCGUCUGAUGAGAUGCCCAUUCCUAUGUAAGGUGCUAUCGAAGAGUCGAGUUGUUUGGGAAUGCAGCUCUAAGUGGGUGGUAAAUUCCAUCUAAAGCUAAAUAUUGGCGAGAGACCGAUAGCGAACAAGUACAGUGAUGGAAAGAUGAAAAGAACUUUGAAAAGAGAGUGAAAAAGUACGUGAAAUUGUUGAAAGGGAAGGGCAUUAGAUCAGACUUGGUGUUUUACGAUUAUCUUCUCUUCUUGAGUUGUGCACUCGUAUUUCACUGGGCCAGCAUCGAUUCGGAUGGCAAGAUAAUGGCAGUUGAAUGUGGCUUCACUUCGGUGGAGUGUUAUAGCUUCUGCUGAUAUUGCCUGUCUGGAUCGAGGGCUGCGUCUUUUGACUAGGAUGCUGGCGUAAUGAUCUAAUGCCGCCCGUCUUGA
rnacentral:rRNA from 1 species